rnacentral:sRNA from 1 species
GCCGGGUGUGGUGGUGGGCACCUGUAAUCCCAGCUACUUGGGAGGCUGAGGCAGGAGAAUCACUUGAACCCAGGAGGUAGAGAUUGCAGUGAGCCAAGAUCACACUAUUGCACUUCAGCCUGGGCAACAGAGCAAGAUUCUGUCUCAAAAAAAAAAAUUUUUUUUAGUGCACACUUGUGGUCCCAGCUACUUGGGAGGCUGAGGCAGGAGGAUUGCUUGAGCCUAGGAAUUGGAGGCUGCAGUGAGCUAUGAUUGCACCACUGCACUCCAGCCUGGGUGACCAAGUGAGACCCUGUGUCA